AUUGAACGCUGGCGGCAGGCCUAACACAUGCAAGUCGAGCGGAGCGGCAGACGGGCGAGUAAUGCCUAGGAAUCUGCCUGGUAGUGGGGGAUAACGUCCGGAAACGGGAGCUAAUCCCGCAUCCUAUCAGAUGCGCCUAGGUCGGAUUCGCUAGUUGGUGGGGUAAAGGCCUACCAAGGCGACGAUCCGUAACUGGUCUGAGAGGAUGAGCAGUCACACUGGAACUGAGACACGGUCCAGACUCCUACGGGAGGCAGCAGUGGGGAAUAUUGGACAAUGGGCGAAAGCCUGAUCCAGCCAUGCCGCGUGGGUGAAGAAGGUCUUCGGAUUGUAAAGCACUUUAAGUUGGGAGGCGUUACCAACAGAAGAAGCACCGGCCAACUUCGUGCCAGCAGCCGCGGUAAUAC
rnacentral:rRNA from 1 species